AACGAACGCUGGCGGCAUGCCUAACACAUGCAAGUCGAACGAGACCUUCGGGUCUAGUUGCGCACGUGUGCGUAACGCGUGGGAACCUGCCCUUAGGUUCGGAAUAACUCCCCGAAAGGGGUGCUAAUACCGGAUAAUGUCUUCGGACCAAAGAUUUAUCGCCUUUGGAUGGGCCCGCGUUGGAUUAGCUAGUUGGUAGUGUAAAAGCCUACCAAGGCGACGAUCCAUAGCUGGUCUGAGAGGAUGAUCAGCCACACUGGGACUGAGACACGGCCCAGACUCGUACGGGAGGCAGCAGUGGAGAAUAUUGGACAAUGGGCGAAAGCCUGAUACAGCAAUGCCGCGUGAGUGAUGAAGGCCUUAGGGUUGUAAAGCUCUUUUACCCGGGAUGAUAAUGACAGUACCGGGAGAAUAAGCUCCGGCUAACUCCGUG
rnacentral:rRNA from 1 species